rnacentral:snRNA from 1 species
GCACUUGAUUGGACAGCAUAUAUACUUGAAACCAUACAAAAAAGAGCAUCAUGACCCCUGUGCAAGAAUGAAAUGUAAAGUUAUGAAAUGCGUAUUUU